rnacentral:rRNA from 1 species
UACGGGGGGGGGCAAGCGUUGUUCGGAAUUACUGGGCGUAAAGGGCGUGUAGGCGGGAAGGCAAGUCGGGCGUGAAAGCCCCAGGCUCAACCUGGGAACUGCACUCGAAACUGCCUUUCUUGAGUGCCGGAGAGGAAAGCGGAAUUCCUGGUGUAGAGGUGAAAUUCGUAGAUAUCAGGAGGAACACCAGUGGCGAAGGCGGCUUUCUGGACGGUAACUGACGCUGAGACGCGAAAGCGUGGGGAGCAAACAGG